rnacentral:rRNA from 2 species
CGGCCGGGAACUCAAAGGAGACUGCCAGUGAUAAACUGGAGGAAGGUGGGGAUGACGUCAAGUCAUCAUGGCCCUUACGACCAGGGCUACACACGUGCUACAAUGGCAUAUACAAAGAGAAGCGACCUCGCGAGAGCAAGCGGACCUCAUAAAGUAUGUCGUAGUCCGGAUUGGAGUCUGCAACUCGACUCCAUGAAGUCGGAAUCGCUAGUAAUCGUAGAUCAGAAUGCUACGGUGAAUACGUUCCCGGGCCUUGUACACACCGCCCGUCACACCAUGGGAGUGGGUUGCAAAAGAAGUAGGUAGCUUAACCUUCGGGAGGGCGCUUACCACUUUGUGAUUCAUGACUGGGGUGAAGUCGUAACAAGGUAACCGUAGGGGAACCUGCGGUUGGAUCACCUCCUUA